rnacentral:rRNA from 1 species
GACGAACGCUGGCGGCGUGCUUAACACAUGCAAGUCGAACGGAAAGGCCCUGCUUUUGUGGGGUGCUCGAGUGGCGAACGGGUGAGUAACACGUGAGUAACCUGCCCUUGACUUUGGGAUAACUUCAGGAAACUGGGGCUAAUACCGGAUAGGAGCUCCUGCUGCAUGGUGGGGGUUGGAAAGUUUCGGCGGUUGGGGAUGGACUCGCGGCUUAUCAGCUUGUUGGUGGGGUAGUGGCUUACCAAGGCUUUGACGGGUAGCCGGCCUGAGAGGGUGACCGGCCACAUUGGGACUGAGAUACGGCCCAGAAUCCAACGGGAGGCAGCAGUGGGGAAUAUUGCACAAUGGGCCGAAGCCUGAUGCAACAACCCCGCGUGCGGGAUGACGGCCUUCGGGUUGUAAACCGCUUUCGCCUGUGACGAAGCGUGAGUGACGGUAAUGGGUAAAGAAGCACCGGCUAACUACGUG